rnacentral:lncRNA from 1 species
CAUAUUCUCGGAAAUCAAUUUGGACGCACCCGAUAGAACUCCUAGAUCAUGUGUGUCAUAUGGAAUCUUGCUUCAAUCUGUUUGGAGACUAAUAAGAACGAGGGUGUCCCGAUCUUUUUGGUGGAGAUGGAUAACUUCGAUUUAGUGGAAGGAGACGACGUUCACGAUCCGACUACAACCAUCCAAGGAUGAUGCGCCUUAGCAACCGAUACACCGACUCCAAGGAUCGCUGCGUUCUUGUGGUGCGCGACCCGGCCACGAGGGCACUCGUCCUGCAAGCAAUCGAAGAACAAGCAAGAACACAAUGAACAAUCAC